UACCAGCUCUUGACAUUCGGGGUAUGGGCAUUGGAGACGAUGUCCUUCAGUUAGGCUGGCCCCAGAACAGGUGCUGCAUGGCUGUCGUCAGCUCGUGUCGUGAGAUGUUGGGUUAAGUCCCGCAACGAGCGCAACCCUCGCCCUUAGUUGCCAGCAUUUAGUUGGGCACUCUAAGGGGACUGCCGGUGAUAAGCCGAGAGGAAGGUGGGGAUGACGUCAAGUCCUCAUGGCCCUUACGGGCUGGGCUACACACGUGCUACAAUGGUGGUGACAGUGGGCAGCGAGACAGCGAUGUCGAGCUAAUCUCCAAAAGCCAUCUCAGUUCGGAUUGCACUCUGCAACUCGAGUGCAUGAAGUGGAAUCGCUAGUAAUCGCAG
rnacentral:rRNA from 1 species